AUCCCAAUAAGGCUAUGCAAAAUGGAGCGGCCCACAAUUUCGUGGAGAUGGUCUUGCGCGCUCGUCAUCAACAGCACUAGGUCCAGUGGGCCAAUCAGGCUGAAUGGCAUCAUCCAGCUGUGACUGGGGUGUAGGAGUCGCCACCUGCUGUUGCGCCGACUCGAGCUAGUACUCGCAUGAGCUCGCUGGAAUUGCUAUGUGCAUCCACAAAUGUCCGAAAGAACAAGCUGGAAAGGGGUCUGGGAUCGUGCAACGGCGAGGGAAUUGUAUAAGCACAGAACUGUGUCACACCCUGUACGAUACAGGAGCGUACCUCGUUUCUUACUGGUACCAUAUGACCCAUGACUGAGAUGAGCGCCAAGCUUCGAAAUAAGGCUGGACAGUAGCCACCGGUUGUUGCAGUCGCUGGAUGGUGAAGAAAUCAGCAGCCGUUGCCAGAAGAAGAGAACGGUUCUCGAGGAAUGCAAGACAGACAAAUCUUGCUGUUGCCAGCAAUGCAGACUCCUCGGGUGAGGUGCAUUGGUGCAUUUCGUCUGUUAUACUCUGCACCAGGCUCUCCAGCUUGAAGUCAGUAGUCUGACUGUCCACCAUAUCCAGUUGGCCUUUAUAACAGGCUAGGCAAAAAGCACUAUCCGCGGUGACCGUAAGACCACGCUCAGUGUGCAGCUGACGCUGAACUGCUCCGACGUUCGGACAUUUACGCUUAACACCCCUUAUUUGUGCGCCACACAUGGUGCAUGUGGGCCUGUUGCUGUCAUGUAGCUGCAUGUUAUGCCGGUUGCAGAGACCCGCUGGCUGAUCGUUUGCGUUUACUUUCACGUUAAGCUUCUCGGCCAGCUCUACUGCUUGUAAUGAAACUGUGACAUGCCGUGGCAAAUCACAACCAUCUA